ensembl:lncRNA
GCACAUUCAUGUAUGCCCACAACACUUCGAGACAUGUUGUGAACACUUUGCCAAGACUCGCCACGACGUUCUUUUCUCGCCCUUAAAAGAAGACAUGCAGGCAGGUACGGCUACAAUAAACGAUUUAAACUAACACACUUUUUAUUGCUGUCAUAUAAUACAUCUGUUUUAUUAUUUGUUAACAACAUGAAACACACAAAAAGUUUAGAUCUUUCUUUUUCCACAUUAGAUUUUUACCUUGCUGUGUGGGCAUGUAUCAUUUCUCUUAUUCAGACAGUUAAAGACAUCUUGAGCUUGUCUCACAGCUUUCUUUGUCUCUAGUCAUGAUGCCAGAGAGCGAUAGAUCUCAACACACUUGCAUACCUCGAAUCAUAAGGUGUGUCUCUGUCAUUUUCUUCAUCAUGUUUAUUGUUCAGGCGAUAGUUGGAUGCGUGUACAUUUAUGACUGUCCAAGGGCGCCCUCCAUUCCUCUCUUUAUGGUUAUUUGUGGAUUCAUACCUGUCUUCUGGGGACUGAGCCAUUGCAAGAGCAGGUGCAGUAUUUUCUGCAACUGUCUGUUCCUCAUCUUCUGCUUGGCCUGGUUUAUCUUCGGUAGUUUUCUCAUCUACUCCAAUUAUGAACUCGACUACGGCAUGAACACUACAGACAGCAAUCGUUACUGCAACAAGACGCUCUACCUGUUUGGAUUUUGUUGCAUCACCCUGACCUACAUCCUCAUAGGUGUUCUUGUUUUUACAUUUUUUUUUGCUCGCUGCACCAACCAGAUGGAGGUUUACGAUGAUGAGGCUCGGCCACUGCUGUGGCGCUAAUCAUAUGAAUGCAUAUAUGUUUGUGUGUUCCCCACCUCCUCUGAGCCAAGUGGACCAAUACUGAUGAAACAGAUUAGAAUGGUGUCACAAUAAAAAAUGUCAUAUCAAAUAUAUCACACUGUAAUGGACAUAUACUACUACUAAUAAUAAUGACGCUGACUGAAAUAUAAUUAUAAGCAAACAACAGACUAAAUAUUAUAUUAAUAUUUUAAUGUGUGCUUUAUGUAUAUACAGAACUUCAUACAUUUAAUGUUGGUUAAUACAGCAACAUGUAGUUGUUGAUCUUUUGUUAGAGAAAUCUUACAAUUAACAAUUCAUGUUUAAUAUUUUAUCAUAAUUUAUUAAACUCCAUGUACUUUGAAGCUUUAUGAAUACAAACAAAGAUGUUUAUUAUGUAAAUCAUAUGUCGUUCAAUAAGGAGAGAUCAUUAUUACAUUCAUCUGGAAGAAGUGGACAUGAUUUAUUGAGACACAGAAUUCAGUUAAGACACUGAUGACCCAUCACAGCAGAGUAAAUGAUCAUGAUCUUUCCUGUUUAACAAACGUAUAUGAAAUGUGUGAUUUUGUUUAUUUGCCAAUAUCCAUGCUGUUUCUUUUUUGUUUAAUUGUAAACAAACUAAAUAAAUAAAUAAAAGGCUGCCCUUUUUAUUACCCUGUUA